rnacentral:rRNA from 1 species
GAUGAACGCUAGCGACAGGCCUAACACAUGCAAGUCGAGGGGCAGCGCGUUGGUAGCAAUACCGAUGGCGGCGACCGGCGCACGGGUGCGUAACAGGUGUGCAAUCUGUCCAUAGUCGGGGGAUAGCCCGGUGAAAACCGAAUUAAUACUCCAUGUGAGUGAGAGUCGCAUGACUUUCAUUUGAAACGUAAGGACUAUGGGUGAGCACGCUUCUGAUUAGAUAGUUGGUGGGGUAACGGCUCACCAAGUCGACGAUCAGUAGGGGUUCUGAGAGGAAGGUCCCCCACAUUGGAACUGAGACACGGUCCAAACUCC